rnacentral:rRNA from 2 species
GUCGAACGGGAUUUAGUAAACAGAAGCCUCGGCGGAAGAUUACUAAUGAGAGUGGCGAACGGGUGAGUAACGCGUGAGCAACCUGCCUAUGACAGUGGGAUAGCCUCGGGAAACCGGGAUUAAUACCGCAUAAAAUCGUAGAAACACAUGUUUUAACGGUCAAAGAUUUAUCGGUCAUAGAUGGGCUCGCGUCUGAUUAGCUAGUUGGUGAGAUAACAGCCCACCAAGGCGACGAUCAGUAGCCGGUCUGAGAGGAUGAACGGCCACAUUGGAACUGAGACACGGUCCAAACUCCUACGGGAGGCAGCAGUGGGGAAUAUUGCACAAUGGGGGAAACCCUGAUGCAGCGACGCCGCGUGAACGAAGAAGGUAUUCGUAUCGUAAAGUUCUGUCCUAUGGGAAGAUAAUGACAGUACCAUAGAAGAAAGCUCCGGCUAAAUACGUGCCAGCAGCCGCGGUAAUACGUAUGGAGCGAGCGUUGUCCGGAAUUAUUGGGCGUAAAGGGUACGCAGGCGGUUUAAUAAGUCGAAUGUUAAAGAUCGGGGCUCAACCCCGUAAAGCAUUGGAAACUGAUAAACUUGAGUAGUGGAGAGGAAAGUGGAAUUUCUAGUGUAGUGGUGAAAUACGUAGAUAUUAGGAGGAAUACCAGUAGCGAAGGCGACUUUCUGGACACAAACUGACGCUGAGGUACGAAAGCGUGGGGAGCAA